AAUCUAAUUAAUUGAAAUUGUCUCUUUUCUUUUUACUUUAUUUUUUUUCCUUUUCUUUUCUGUACUAUUGGUUGUUAUGCUGGACUGAUGCAAUUAUAGCGUACUCAACGGAGAAAUCCAAACACCCCUCUGUGAAGUGUUUCUGGAGCUUAUCCCCUUAGUCUCCUCUAAGGAUUGUGAUGGGCCUUGACAUUCUCAUAUGUACUGAAUAUGAGUUUUUUAGUGGUAAUGAUUGGAAUAUGUAGAGUGAUACUUCAUGACCUUUGUAACCUCACUUGCAGUAUGGUGCUGAAUACAUCAAACAAAUGUUUGAAUUCCUGAAGAAAGUUAUAAUGUAUGAAAAACUUCAACUCAUUUUCUAGACAUGCUUUGCUAAUGUAAUCUUCAAGAAAUCUCUAUAAAGUCCUUGUUAAACUAAAAAAAAUACUGUACGUCAAGAUGUUUUUUGUCGACAUGGUUCAAUCUUUGUCAAAAUAUGCUUGUUUAUAAAACGUUAAGAAAUAUAAAUUAGUGCAAACAAGUGAUCAGCACUUUCUAUUUCACAGGUAUUUAUUUUAGUUUUAUUUUUAGGUCUCCUCUAUGCUACAAUUUUACAAUAUAUUCUGAAAAUGGUAUAGUAGAUAUUGGAGAUAAGGGACACAUUCAAAUGCAUUCAAUUCCCAGUCCUCUCUGAUUUAUAUAUAUAUAUAUAUAUAUAUAUUUUUUUUUUGUUAAGGGGGGAAACAAAAUAGAUCUUUCACUUGUGUGAACUGUUUGCAUCAUUGCUUGGACUCUGAUAUGAAAAGUAGACAAAUAUUGAAAUCACGCAGACAUUUGUAAAAUAAAUGAAAGCAGGUUUCCCGUUGAGGAUAGAGGAACUAUGGAAGAGAAGAUUGAUCUUUAACAUGGAGGGCAAGAGCCCUGAAUUGAGUGUCGAGCUCUAUUAUGUUCAGUUGCCGCUUGCUUUCUAUGCAGUGCAAGUUGCAGCCAGAAUGGAAUGUUCUCAGAUCUCUGGUUUUGGAUUAUAAAACCAGUGCUUUGACUGGAUUUGCUGAUUAGCAAGUUCUAGUAUCAGUUUUUUAUUUAGUAAUAUAUGAUUUUUUGUGUGUGUUUUAAUAAUUGCUGAAACUUAGCUAUUAAGUACUGUCAGAUUUCUCUCCUUUUGGAGACAUAAACUUUUAAUUUAGACACCUUAUGUUCCUAUUGCUGAGUAAACAACAACAAAUCUUAUUACUUCCUCAUUUGAUUUACCUUUUUGUUAGAUAAGGAUAAUGAAAAUCUGAAUUAAAUAGUUUUUCUCUCCUGUAUUCAGUGUCAAAUCCAUCAGCCUGUCAAUGUAUUUAAUAUAAUGGGAAGAGGAGCUUCCAGCAUAGCUGCAGAUAAUAGUUUGCUGUUUCUUAAGUGGACUUCUUCAAAUGGCAUGGGUUGCUCUGGAAGUAAUGCCUCCAACUUAUUUCUGUGGAAACUACAACAGACACAAAAGAGGACCACAGCACUAGAGCAAAUUGUCAGCUACAGAACACUAUUUUUUGAAUACAUUCACCACCAGUAAUCACCGUGCUUUUUUGCCAGUGAUAAACAAGAGCCUGCAUGCUGCACCCUUAAAAAUCUGCAUAGCCAUCUAGAGCGUGGCUUGUCUUUUACAUCAUUGUUACCACUGCUGAAAUGGACUAACUCACUGUGCUCACAUCUGCUGUUGGGCAUUUGUAACCAUUCAGCAAGCAUUGAUGAAUGCCAGUGGGUGCCAUGUUUUCCUCAAGGAGCAAUUCAAUUCUACAGCUUUGCUUCUUACACACUUCCAUGUCAGAUGCCAUUUUGUCAGACUGCCCCUCUGCUCCCAUCUGUCCCAUGGCAACCCAAUAUAGUGGAGUAUUGGUUUGAAGGUUUAGCCUUCUGACACUGGGAACCAGCUCAAUAAAAUAGGAGGUAUUACUUUUGGAGCAGCCCUCAUAGACUCUCUCUGACACCUAUACCAAAGUCUGCAAUGAGAAUUGAACUAAACAUUGCCUUAACAGCAAGUUCUUGUCACAUUUAUGUGGAUAUUCCAGACUUUACUUUUCUCCCUAUAAGGUGUUCUUUUGCAAUAGCAAGGUAUUUUUUUGUGUCAGUAGCACAGGAACUGCGUGGAUAGAUCAAAGCUUGCAUUUGCUUAAUACUAGUCUCUGGUUUAAGUGUAAAGAGAAGAGGACUGAAGUAGCACGUGAAAGCCCUGUAAUAGUACUGUAAUCUCUCAAGGCUUUAAACAGAAUUGCCAGAAGAAAUCUUCUAAGAGCAAAGU
ensembl:lncRNA